CAAUAGCGUAUAUUAAAGUUGUUGCGGUUAAAAAGCUCGUAGUUGGAUUUCUGCCGAGGAUGACCGGUCCGCCCUGUGGGUGUGCAUCUGGCUCAGCCUUGGCAUCUUCCUGAAGAACGUAGCUGCACUUGACUGUGUGGUGCGGUAUUUAGGACAUUUACUUUGAGGAAAUUAGAGUGUUUCAAGCAAGCGUACGCUUUGAAUACAUUAGCAUGGAAUAAUAAGAUAGGACCUCGGUUCUAUUUUGUUGGUUUCUAGAGCUGAGGUAAUGAUUGAUAGGGAUAGUUGGGGGCAUUCGUAUUUCAUUGUCAGAGGUGAAAUUCUUGGAUUUAUGAAAGACGAACUUCUGCGAAAGCAUUUGCCAAGGAUGUUUUCAUUAAUCAAGAACGAAGUUGGGGGCUCGAAGAUGAUUAGAUACCAU
rnacentral:rRNA from 1 species